GCCACCCGACCGUGCAACCGGAAGUCACACCCUGGCGCCCGUUAAAGACGUUCACCCAACAGAGACGGACUUCCUUGUUAACCCAGCGUUCGAUCGAGACUUGUUUAAGAAGACAAUGUCAAAUAUCUCUGACGGCGAAUAUCUUCGGAACAAGCGACAGAGCACCGCGUACGAGGUGGAACUCUUCUUUGUCAUCGACUUCUCAUUGUAUUCACUUUGGUACAGCCAAACAACGGGAACAGAGUCGUCCAGAAAAUCACAGACACUGA